rnacentral:rRNA from 1 species
AACGAACGCUGGCGGCGUGCUUAACACAUGCAAGUCGAACGUGAUUCGGAGCUUGCUCCGAUGAAAGUGGCGCACGGGUGAGUAUCGCGUGGAUAACCUACCCUGGUGUCUGGGAUAACAUCUCGAAAGGGGUGCUAAUACCGGAUAAGCCCACGGGAUCUUCGGAUUCUGCGGGAAAAGGAGGCCUCUAUUUAUAAGCUUCUGCAUCAUGAUGGGUCCGCGUACCAUUAGCUAGUUGGUGGGGUAAUGGCCUACCAAGGCUACGAUGGUUAGCUGGUCUGAGAGGAUGAUCAGCCACACUGGAACUGAGACACGGUCCAGACUCCUACGGGAGGCAGCAGUGGGGAAUUUUGCGCAAUGGGGGAAACCCUGACGCAGCAACGCC